UGCGUCCCAUUAGGCAGUUGGCGGGGUAACGGCCCACCAACCGACGAUGGGUAGGGGUUCUGAGAGGAAAAUCCCCCACAUUGGAACUGAGACACGGUCCAAACUCCUACGGGAGGCAGCAGUGAGGAAUAUUGGUCAAUGGGCGGAAGCCUGAACCAGCCAAGUCGCGUGCGGGACGAAGGCCCUACGGGUCGUAAACCGCUUUUGUACGGGAAUAAAGUCAUCCACGCGUGGGUGUUUGUAGGUACCGUAAGAAUAAGGAUCGGCUAACUCCGUGCC
rnacentral:rRNA from 1 species